rnacentral:rRNA from 1 species
GACGAACGCUGGCUACAGGCUUAACACAUGCAAGUCGAGGGACCGGCGCACGGGUGAGUAACACGUAUCCAACCUGCCCUUUACUCGGGGAUAGCCUUUCGAAAGAAAGAUUAAUACCCGAUGUCAAGGAUGGGGAUGCGUUCCAUUCGGGUGUUGGUGAGGUAACGUCUCACCAAGCCUUCGAUGGAGAGGGGUUCUGAGAGGAAGGCCCCCCACAUUGGAACCGCGACACGGUCCAAACGCCUACGGGAGGCAGAAGUGAUGAAUAUUGGUCAAUGGGCGUUAGCCUGAACCAGCCAAGUAGCGGGAAGGAUGAAGGCGUAUGGGUCGUAAAUUUCUUUUAUAUAAGAAUAUGUAUUAUAUGAAUAAGGAUCGGCUAACUCCGUGCCAGCAGCCGCGGUAAUAC